rnacentral:rRNA from 1 species
AGAGUUUGAUCCUGGCUCAGGACGAACGCUGGCGGCGUGCUUUAUACAUGCAAGUCGUGCGAGAUACCGUUUCUUCAAGGCUUCGGCCAAGAAGUUGCGGUGGAGAGCGGCAAACGGGUGAGUAACACGUAGGUAAUAUGCCUUUCAGCAGGGGAUAACUUCGGGAAACCGGGGCUAAUACCCUAUAUUAUCAUUUGCUUAUGGCUUUCGAUGAAAGAACUUGUUCACUGAAAGAUUAGCCUGCGCCCCAUUAUGCUUGUUGGUGAGGUAACGGCCCACCAAGGCUGGGAUGGGUAGCCGACCUGAAAGGGUGACCGGCCACACUGGGACUGAGACACGGCCCAGACUCCUACGGGAGGCAGCAGUAGGGAAUCUUGCGCAAUGGACGAAAGUCUGACGCAGCAACGCCGCGUGAAGGACGACAUCUCUAGGGAUGUAAACUUCUUUUAGGAGGGAAGAAAUGGCCCAUAUGGGUAGCUGACGGUACCUCCAGAAAAAGCACCGGCUAACUCCGUGCCAGCAGCCGCGGUAAUACGGAGGGUGCAAGCGUUGUCCGGAAUUACUAGGCGUAAAGCGUACGUAGGCGUUUCUGUAAGUCGGUUGUUAAAGACCCCUGCUUAACGGGGGAAGGUCAAGCGAAACUACAGAAAUUGAGAAUAGAAUAGGAGAGCGGAAUACCUGGAGGAGCGGUGAAAUGCGUAGAUUUCAGGAAGAACGUCGAUGGCGAAGGCAGCUCUCUGGUCUGUUUCUGACGCUCAGGUACGAAAGCUAGGGGAGCGAACCGGAUUAGAUACCCGGGUAGUCCUAGCCGUAAACGAUGGAAACUAGGUGUUGGACAAUAGUCCGGCGCCGCAGCUAACGCGUUAAGUUUCCCGCCUGGGGAGUACGGUCGCAAGACUGAAACUCAAAGGAAUUGACGGGGGCCCGCACAAGCGGUGGAGCACGUGGUUUAAUUCGAUCUAACCGAAGAACCUUACCUGGACUUGACAUGGUAGGUGGUACUUUCUCUGAAAGGAGAGGGGACCCUUUUAACCAAGGGAGUCUAUCACAGGUGCUGCAUGGCUGUCGUCAGCCCGUGUCGUGAGAUGUUGGGUUAAGUCCCGCAACGAGCGCAACCCUUACCCUAUGUUACCAGCGGAUAAUGCCGGGGACUCUUAGGGAACUGCCCAGAACAACUGGGAGGAAGGUGGGGACGACGUCAAGUCAUCAUGGCCCUUAUGUCCAGGGCUACACACGUGCUACAAUGGCCGGUACAAAGGGCAGCUAACUCGCAAGAGCAUGCAAAUCCCAGAAAGCCGGUCCCAGUUCGGAUUGCAGGCUGAAAUUCGCCUGCAUGAAGUUGGAAUCGCUAGUAAUCGCAGGUCAGCUAAACUGCGGUGAAUACGUUCCCGGGCCUUGUACACACCGCCCGUCACACCACGAAAGUCAGUUGUACCAGAAGUCGUUGGGCUAAUCCUCUUCGGAGGAAAGCAGGCGCCUAAGGUAUGGUUGGUAAUUGGGGUGAAGUCGUAACAAGGUA